UACAGAGGUCUCAAGCGUUGUUCGGAUUCAUUGGGCGUAAAGGGUGCGUAGGCGGCGCGGUAAGUCGGGUGUGAAAUCUCGGAGCUUAACUCCGAAACUGCAUUCGAUACUGCCGUGCUUGAGGACUGGAGAGGAGACUGGAAUUUACGGUGUAGCGGUGAAAUGCGUAGAUAUCGUAAGGAACACCUGUGGCGAAAGCGGCUCACUGGACCAUAACUGACGCUGAGGCACGAAAGCUAGGGGAGCAAACAGG
rnacentral:rRNA from 1 species